UCAAAACAGACCUUUAUCUAAGUAAGGAGACAUUACAGAUGCUGUUUACUUCAGGAACAAGGGAUAUUUGAACUAUUUAAGAGAAGCCUUACUCUCCUUUAGUUUGUCACACUGGUUCUGUAUAUAUGGGUUAUAUUUGUUAGAUUAAGUUUUUCACUACUAUUGGAAAUGUUAAUAGAUUGGGUAAUAUUUAUUAAAGUUGCAUUCUAACCUUAAAGCGAUGGGCUACUGGUGUUUUCAUACAGCUGGAUAAGAUCAUAAGAUAUAGGAAUUCAAUCAUCAGAUGCUACAUCUUCCAAUGAAACAUCUGCUCUGUUGUUUGCUUUGCACUUGUGGGCCUGCUCAUGAAUGUUAGCUCUAGCUCUUCAUAUGGAGGAGGGAACCAAGCAAGGGAUUGAUGAAUGCCAAACAUCUGCUCUGUUCUAAAGUUAUUCAAUAAAGUUUCCAUUCUAUAUGUCUCCCUUGAAACGUUGAUAAAUUUGUUGCUAUUUUUUAUAUUGGUUGUAAUUUACUCAAGAGACCAUGACUUCUUUGAUGAGAAGCAUUUUUUGCACUUUACUGAUCCAUUUCGUGUUGGUUUUACUGCAACUUUGUCAAACCAGUCCCUGCUGGAAUUUAUGCCAAGGUGCACUAUGGAACUUCUUUGUCUAAUGUGGAUUGGCUACAUGGUGGAGCUGAGUCUCUACUCACUCUCAGUAACUUGUUCAUUGUGUUGGGACUGAGACAAGCUCUAAGUAAAACUAAGGAUGCAAAAGAAAACAUGCCCAUGGUUACUUCAAGGAUCAAAGAGAAGAAACCCUCCAUAUAGGUAUUAAUGCUUCCAUGAAUUAUUUGACCAAAAUUGUGGUGUCGAGAGACCACUCAAGGGGAAAAAAUGAUUGUGGCUUCAAGAAAGCUUUCUCCUGUUUUGCAGCUUCUACUUCCAUAAACUUGCCUUUACUUAAGUCCUACAUACUGACAUCUUUACCCCAGUAGUUACUAUCAUUACCAUAUUUGCACUGUAUGGGUGUUUCACCUGUUUCACAGGAAUUGUUUCAUUCUACUUGUAUUAUUAUCCACUCUAGUCUAGCAGUUUUGUAUUAAUGUCACUUACAAUCAAUAAAUAAUUAAUGUCAUAUUGCACUUCA